rnacentral:rRNA from 1 species
GAUGAACGCUGGCGGCGUGCCUAAUACAUGCAAGUCGAGCGAACGGACGAGAAGCUUGCUUCUCUGAUGUUAGCGGCGGACGGGUGAGUAACACGUGGAUAACCUACCUAUAAGACUGGGAUAACUUCGGGAAACCGGAGCUAAUACCGGAUAAUAUUUUGAACCGCAUGGUUCAAAAGUGAAAGACGGUCUUGCUGUCACUUAUAGAUGGAUCCGCGCUGCAUUAGCUAGUUGGUAAGGUAACGGCUUACCAAGGCAACGAUGCAUAGCCGACCUGAGAGGAUGAUCAGCCACACUGGAACUGAGACACGGUCCAGACUCCUACGGGAGGCAGCAGUAGGGAAUCUUCCACAAUGGGCGAAAGCCUGACGGAGCAACGCCGCGUGAGUGAUGAAGGUCUUCGGAUCGUAAAACUCUGUUAUUAGGGAAGAACAUAUGUGUAAGUAACUGUGCACAUCUUGACGGUACCUAAUCAGAAAGCCACGGCUAACUACGUG